GAAUCUAAAUUGCAGAAUCGGAUGAAAGGAAAACCUUCCCCCAUUCCACAUAACAUACAUUUAUAUACUUUUUCUUGCAAGUAGAACAUGGUGUAGGAUUGUCUAAAAUUUAUAUUUUAUGAUCCACCCCUCUUUUAGCAUCUUAGCAAUCAAGUACGGAAUCGUCAAGGGGCAAUUUAUGUUUGUCCAAAUUCCCAUUUCUUUAUAUAUGUAUCUCAGGGGUCAGAUCUAUGAAUGAUACACUUUGAAAUGCUACCUCUCUCUCUGUGAUGACAUUUCCUGACGUCAUUGGCAUUCUUGUGUGGUGUUUUCAUAAUUUGUCCAACACUAUCGAAGCACGCGGUCAUACAUCACCACCAUGUGACAAGAGUUCUUAUACCAUAUAGAUAGGCCUAUAGAUACGAUGAUUGGCGUGCAUAUAAAAAGCGGCACUAUUCAAAAAAGGUCUCAAUUCAAUAUUAGCGCUUCUGGGACUCCAAGUGACACAACCACUUGCUGAUUUUUUUGGCUUUUUUUUUCUAUAUGUAUAUCUAUCCAUUCAGCGCCUGAUUACUCAGACCUAAUCAAUUUCUGCGGUUUGAAGUGUUUCGUGGGGCACAUUCUUUUUUUUCCUCUCCUCUUCUUUCUCUUCAAUACAAAAUUCAUCAUUAUUAUUUUUCUCUCCUUCUUCCAUCACGAAACACUGGUGCCCCAUGAAGGCAAUAGUCCGUGCAUAGGAAUUAGAUGGAGUUUUUACAAUGAGCACCAGCAGCGUAGCUGAGAUUUGUGUUGUAUGUCGUUUUGGUGAUGGAAAAUCGUGUGGUGAAAUAAUUGUGGUAAUGGUCUUUUUGACGUAAAUACUCUGGGUAUACGGCGCAUUAGAAUCCCGCCACCACUGCUUCAACAUUUUCGAAUUGGAAACGUCGACCCAACAUUGUGUGUUAUAUGGUGUGUGUAUAGAAGAGUACCAAGUAUUUUGUAUAGGCAAGCAAGCACUCAGGCACAGUCAGCUAGCAGAGGCAGAGCGGCAGCAUAGUAGAGCUCUCUAGAGCAGUCAGAGCGCACAAGGGAACGGCGUAAAUAGCUGGUAUUCGGCACCACCAUACCAUCCAUCCAUUUGCACAGAGUUGAACUCCCAAACACUUCACAUUUAUACCCAUGAGCAGCGCCAGCAAAACACGCUAUAUAGCUUUGCCACAUUUCAACUUCAGGCCAACAACAUAUACACCCCAGUCACAAAUUUCAAAAACACGUCUCCACACCAUCUAUUCACAGAGCGCUGCCAUAGAGAGAUACAGUACGCAGACACAGUCAACUGAAUCGAAUAAGAACAUUGGACAUCAGAGUUGCAAAAACAGAGAUUGUACAACAAAAGAUAAUGUACAUACAAUUUUGUAAAGAAAAAAAACUAUCAUACAUAGAAUAAAUUAUUUUAAUUUAAAA